GAAGUUGAAUGAUGUAUGGCUGGAAGA
rnacentral:piRNA from 1 species